GACGUAGGGCGCGAGCGUUGUCCGGAGUUACUGGGCGUAAAGGGUGCGCAGGCGGCGUUCCGCGUGGCGGAGAUGAAAUCUCCUGGCUUACCUGGGAGGGUGGUCGCCAGACGGGAGCGCUUGAGGGUCGGAGAGGGGCGUGGAAUUCCGGGUGGAGCGGUGAAAUGCGUAGAGAUCCGGAGGAACACCGACGGCGUAGGCAGCGCCCUGGACGACACCUGACGCUGAGGCA
rnacentral:rRNA from 1 species